rnacentral:rRNA from 1 species
UACGUAGGGUGCGAGCGUUAAUCGGAAUUACUGGGCGUAAUGCGUGCGCAGGCGGUUUUGUAAGCCAGAUGUGAAAGCCCCGGGCUUAACCUGGGAAUGGCAUUUGGGACUGCAAGGCUUGAGUGCGGCAGAGGAGACUGGAAUUCCUGGUGUAGCAGUGAAAUGCGUAGAUAUCAGGAGGAAUACCGAUGGCGAAGGCAGGUCUCUGGGCUGACACUGACGCUCAUGCACGAAAGCGUGGGGAGCAAACAGG